rnacentral:rRNA from 1 species
GUCCACGCCGUAAACGAUGGAUACUAGCUGUUCGGAGCAAUCUGAGUGGCUAAGCGAAAGUGAUAAGUAUCCCACCUGGGGAGUACGUUCGCAAGAAUGAAACUCAAAGGAAUUGACGGGGGCCCCGCACAAGCGGUGGAGCAUGUGGUUUAAUUCGAUGAUACGCGAGGAACCUUACCAAGGCUUAAAUGUAGAUUGACCGGUUUGGAAACAGAUCUUUCGCAAGACAAUUUACAAGGUGCUGCAUGGUUGUCGU